rnacentral:ncRNA from 1 species
AAAAAGGCAGUGAAGGUGCAAGUAGACCCUUAUUUUCCGUCCAGAGAGAGGAGGCCGCCGGCUGAGAGCCUCUUCGGUUCAGAUAGGGUGUCGAAAUUCCCGCCGGAGCCGCGCAGCUGAACGAGAGCUGUUCCUUUGCAGCAUCUAUUAGGCGGCGACGUCCCGUACACGUUACGUAUAAGAUAAGAGCCUGGGCUGUGAAAAGCCGGAGGCCGGCAGGAACCGGCACCGUUUUCACGGAUACAGGAAUCAGGGUGGUACCGCGGUCUGAACCGUCCCUUCG